rnacentral:rRNA from 1 species
GAGUUUGAUCUUGGCUCAGAUUGAACGCUGGCGGCAUGCCUUACACAUGCAAGUCGAACGGCAGCAUGAUCUAGCUUGCUAGAUUGAUGGCGAGUGGCGAACGGGUGAGUAAUACAUCGGAACGUGCCCUGUAGUGGGGGAUAACUAGUCGAAAGAUUAGCUAAUACCGCAUACGACCUGAGGGUGAAAGUGGGGGACCGCAAGGCCUCAUGCUAUAGGAGCGGCCGAUGUCUGAUUAGCUAGUUGGUGGGGUAAAGGCCCACCAAGGCGACGAUCAGUAGCUGGUCUGAGAGGACGAUCAGCCACACUGGGACUGAGACACGGCCCAGACUCCUACGGGAGGCAGCAGUGGGGAAUUUUGGACAAUGGGCGAAAGCCUGAUCCAGCAAUGCCGCGUGCGUGAAGAAGGCCUCGG